GUACACGCUGUGACUAGCAUAUCAAUAAGCGGAGGAAAAGAAACUAACAAGGAUUCCCCUAGUAACGGCGAGUGAAGCGGGAAGAGCUCAAAUUUGAAAUCUUAAAGGGUUUCCCUUUACGAAUUGUAGUUUAAAGAAGUGUUUUCUGUUGAGGUUUUGGUAAAAGUUCUUGGGAAUAGGACAUCAUAGAGGGUGAGAAUCCCGUAUUUGACCUUUACUUUCAACUUUGUGAUACACUUUCAAAGAGUCGGAUUGUUUGGGAAUGCAGUCCAAAAUGGGUGGUAAAUUUCAUCUAAAGCUAAAUAUUGGCGAGAGACCGAUAGCGAACAAGUACCGUGAGGGAAAGAUGAAAAGAACUUUGAAAAGAGAGUUAAACAGUACGUGAAAUUGUCAAAGGGGAAGCGUUUGACACCAGUGUUGUUUUUCCUGAAAAUCAAUUAACGAAUGUUUUUAUGAUAAGUGUUAUGACUUCAUCAGCUAACUGCUUUCUCUUUGACGACUUUCUUAAUGCACUUUUCAGGUUAACAAGUCAACAUCAAUUUCUUUUGUUGUAAAAAGCUUGAUUGGAAGGUGGCUUGCGCUUCGUAUAAGUGUUUAUAGCCUCUUAGCCUCUGCAGUCGGAGAGAUUGAGGUCUGCAGCGUAGAUCCUUCGGGGUUAGAUAGCAUUUGUGCUAAGUUAUAGCAUUUUCAUAGACAACAUUGUUGACUAUGUUAAGUCUUGUAGCUUACUCGCUUAUGCUAUUUUACCUACGCUUAUGAUGUUGAAGAUGUAGCACAUCAU
rnacentral:rRNA from 1 species